rnacentral:rRNA from 1 species
GGCUCAGGAUGAACGCUAGCGACAGGCUUAACACAUGCAAGUCGAGGGGCAGCGGGAGUGAAGCUUGCUUCACUCGCCGGCGACCGGCGCACGGGUGCGUAACGCGUAUCGAAUCUGCCCGUUACUCGGGGAUAGCCUUGCGAAAGUAAGAUUAAUACCCGAUGUUGUCAUUAUGCCGCAUGACAUGAUGACCAAAGGUUUACCGGUAACGGAUGACGAUGCGUCUGAUUAGGUAGAUGGCGGGGUAACGGCCCACCAUGCCGACGAUCAGUAGCCGGACUGAGGGGUUGACCGGCCACAUUGGGACUGAGAUACGGCCCAGACUCCUACGGGAGGCAGCAGUGGGGAAUAUUGGUCAAUGGGCGCAAGCCUGAACCAGCCAAGUAGCGUGAGGGAAGACUGCCCUACGGGUUGUAAACCUCUUUUGUUUGGGAAUAAAGUGCGGGACGUGUCCCGCAUUGCAUGUACCAUUUGAAUAAGGACCGGCUAAUUCCGUG